UCUCCGUAGGUGAACCUGCGGAAGGAUCAUUAACGAGUUAGGGUCUUCUAGGCCCCACCGCCCAACCCCUUCUUUACUGAACCAUUGUCGCCUCCCGGGGUCCCUCUCACGACCGCCGGCCCCUCCCCGCGCGCCCCCCCCUCUCCAUCUUCCCCCGAUAGCCUCACCUUUAAAACUCCUUUUGUAUCGCGUCUCAUUUCCAAACGUAUCACUUAACACUCAAAACAAAACUUACAACAACGGACCUCAUGGGUCCAGCUUCGAUGUAGAACCAAACUG
rnacentral:misc_RNA from 1 species